rnacentral:lncRNA from 1 species
UGCUUUACCAAGUUUACACGAACACUUGAAAUACUUAAUUUGGCCUCUUAAUGACAAAAGCCAGUUCAUCGCCAUGUUGUUUUUUCAUUCAUUAUUUUGACAUUUUUUUGGAAUAUUUGUGUGUGUUGCACUCUGAAAUUUUGUAUGGCGAAUCAUGAAUGGGAGCAUGAAUGAACAAUUAUAUCGUGUAAACGGGGUAUUAUUCGGCUCCUAAAUUACAAUAGGCAUUUAAUUCGUUUCCACGACACAUUACUUUUUAUCAAUAAAAACAAAUUUAUUUUUGAUACCUAUAUUUUAUAAUCAACAAAAACUUACUCGUGGAGGAACCAAUGAAUUACAAUAAUGUCUACACAAAUGUUUAUUUUUAACAUAUCGAAGUUCAAAAAUUUAUUUUAUACCAAAUAAAAAAGAAAAUAAAAUCAACGUAAUAAAAAUUAUAAACAAAAACAAUAUUUUUUCUUUGAUAUGAUAAGUGGGCAAAUGUACUUCUACUUAGAGUAUAUAGCAUUUUUAUGUCUUUUACCCAAUAAUUAUUUACGUUUUACCAAAUGUAAUCAAAUAUAAAACUUACAGUAUAUACGUUCAUUACAAUAAUAUUAAAUUA